UGUAUACCUGCUUACAUGGCCUCUCC
rnacentral:piRNA from 1 species